AAGUCGUAACAAGGUUUCCGUAGGUGAACCUGCGGAAGGAUCAUUACAAGUGGGCUACCGAACGCUGGAAACACGGUUAGGAGCUUACACCCCACCCCGUGUUUUACAUACUAUUUGUUGCUUUUGGGGGGCCGUGGCCUCCACUGCGGGCUCUGUCGUGUGUGCCCGCCAGAGGACCAAACUCUGAAUGUUAGUGAUGUCAGUACUAUCUAAUAGUUUAAAA
rnacentral:misc_RNA from 1 species